CAUCAAACUGCAGCAGCGCUUGAUUGCUCCACUUUCGUCUGCCAAGCGACAUAAUGGAAGAAAAAAAGCCUAGACAUGCAAAUCCAGCAUUAUAAGUGGGAUUUUUUGUUCACAUUCGACAACUUUUUAACCAACCAAUUAUAGCUCACGAAUCUCUACGCUACCAGCGUGAAAAAAUCUUAAGGUUGCCUUCUGCUUUUUUAUGUUAGUAGUCUUCCUCUGUCUAUACUUGCUGUACUGACGGAUUUCACUUCAAUCAAGACGCCAUCUUGUAGAAACUAUCAGCAACGCGGUAAACCACUUCAGUAAGCAAUACCUUGCAGAAACAAUGCUGAUUUUGUGUUCGCUUUGUGUCUUUUUCGUGUUUUGCAUAUUUCAACAUUCAAAUUACAUGAUCGAUGUUCUAUACAAAUUGUUCAUAUAGUAAAGAAAGCAAACGUUUUUAUUGCAUUAUCAAAUCAAUGUUUUAACCUACAUUCUGAGUAUUUCAUUUCAUCAUCCCACAACGUGUGUUAGCAGGACCACUAUCACUGUAUAGCGGAACCACUGAGGGUGAAAUGACGGAAUUUGCGAUGACGGCGCUAGCUUCAAAGCCAUUACGAUGCAGCUGCUUUGUUGGACAAGUCGCCUGUUUCGUUCAUAGAUAGCUCGUUUUCGGAAUGUGAACCAACACUAACCACUCUGACUGCUGAGCACUCUUCUCUUCAACCCAGCAACAUUUUAGAGGUUUACAAUGAAAAAAUCGUGAACGGGAAUGACAAAGCGAGAACAAGCCUUUCGGCCUGUGAGUGUAAUGUUUUAAAUGCGAUGAACGACACAGAAAAAUCUUUUUCUACUGCAUUUCCGGGGAAUCGCGAAAUUAAUUAUACAAAUAACGAAUGAUUGUAUUUUCAUUGAUUUAUAUAGGUUAAAAGUAUGUUAUUUACAUUCGGAUAUUUUACUACGCACUGCAGCGCACAAAAAAUCGCAAACCGUAAACAUAAGAAUUUCACUUGAUUGGAAACGGCUGGAAUCAUGCCAAGAAUGUACACAGACUACGUUAACUGCUUACAAGCCGUCACAUGAAAAAUAUAGCGGAUUCCAAAAUCAAACAUUCGAAAGUAUCACAGUGGAUGACUGCACAGGAAUACUUAACAACGAGUCACUGUCGAAGAAGUUGGAUCAUUCGUUGAACAGUCUAUCUAAUGGUAAUCAAUCACAUUAAUUAAAAAAAAAUAUUUCCCUUUUAUUUUCAGCUGAAAUGUCAACUGGCGAAUGCACCAAAGAUUGUUAAAUAAUGAUUUCAAGCAAUGUUUACAAUUUGUCACAGUUUUCUGGAUUUAAUUUAGAGCCACAAUGGCUUUCGAAUAAUCAGCACAUGAAAACCUUAAUUGGACUUGGAAAAAACGAUAUGGUCACCCAGAGCCGGAUUUACGAUUGUAGGGGCCCGGGGCCCAGUUUACAGUGGGGGCCUCGAAAUAAAACAAAACCGUUUUUUUUUAUCGUACGAGUUAAAUCGUAUUGAAAAGUUACCAAAAAUUUGUUAGAGUUUUUUUGUUCAGAGAACUUAUUAAUUAAAUAAUCAACAUUCAACUCUUUCAGAAUAUCGUACUCUCAACUUAAAAAUGCUAAGUUUGACAGCCUUUCAUUUUUCAUAGUCGUACGCAACCUAUUUCCAAUCAUCUUCAUCUUCAUCUUCGAAAAAGACCUUUCUCCAGUUACGUUCGAGAUCAUUAUGCCUUGUUUAGACUACGCCGCAUAUUUCCUGAUAUCGCCAGAUGAUAUUGGAUAUCACUUCGGGUGUUCACUCUACAGUCAGAUGAUAUGGUUUGACAUUUACUUCGGUAAUUGAAAAGAGAAGAAAACAAAAACAGGUCAAGGCAAAAACAAGACAACAAGAGCAAUGUAAUUAGGAUAGAGAUUUCAGCUAGUUGGCUCGCACCAAUGUGAACUCUCAUAAGCAAUUGUCAAAAUGUGCGGGAUGACAAGAGUAAAAAUAUUUCCUUCCUUCUAUUUCGCUAAGCGAAUUUCGGAAUUUGUAGGCUUGCGUCAAAUGUUUGUUGGCCGUGUUGCCAACUGCUGCGAAUCUAGUUUUUAUUGGUUUUCGAACAUGAUAUCGAUUGUAUGGAAUAUCAGGUGAUAUGGAUAUGACAUGGUGAUAUGGCCUCGACAGCACGAAUGGCCCGAUUUCGGGUAAUAAGGAGUGUAGUGUGAACGGGGUAUUAGGCUCAAAUAAAUCCUCAAAUAAAAUGAUUUUUGAAGGCACUAAAGAGUUUUUGAUUUUUUUCUUCUGUAAUCUUCUUUUUCAAGCUCCACUUUGAUAUACACGCGGGGUUUUGUGGCGAUCGCACAUUUUGAACAAAUGUAAUAAUAAAUUCGGUGCUUGCUUACUGUU